rnacentral:rRNA from 1 species
AUUGAACGCUGGCGGCAGGCCUAACACAUGCAAGUCGAGCGAGCGGCGGACGGGUGAGUAAUGCCUGGGAAUUGCCCAGUCGAGGGUGAUAACAGUUGGAAACGACUGCUAAUACCACAUACGACUGGAGUCGCCAGGUGGGAAUAGCUAGUGGGUGGGGUAAUGGCUCACCAAGGCGACGAUCCGUAGCUGGUCUGAGAGGAUGAUCCGCCACACUGGAACUGAGACACGGUCCAGACUCCUACGGGAGGCAGCAGUGGGGAAUAUUGGACAAUGGGGGAAAGCCUGAUGCAGCCAUGCCGCGUGUGUGAAGAAGGCCUUCGGGUUGUAAAGCACUUUCAUCGGGGAGGCGGUACUCGAAGAAGAAGCACCGGCUAACUCCGUGCCAGCAGCCGCGGUAAUAC